GACGAACCGUGCGAACGUUGUUCGGAAUCACUGGGCUUAAAGGGCGCGUAGGCGGUUGGUCAAGUCAGGUGUGAAAUCCCUCGGCUCAACCGAGGAACGGCGCUUGAUACUGCAUGGCUUGAGGGAGACAGGGGUAAGCGGAACUGAUGGUGGAGCGGUGAAAUGCGUUGAUAUCAUCAGGAACACCGGUGGCGAAAGCGGCUUACUGGGUCUCUUCUGACGCUGAGGAACGAAAGCUAGGGUAGCGAACGGG
rnacentral:rRNA from 1 species